GGGGGUGAAAGGCUUCGACUAGGGAGCUGAAGACCCGUGGCAUGCGGAGGUUAUCGAUUUCCUCCUUAAUCCAUCGGUACAAAAAUAAUUGGCGAUAACAAUCACCAAGAACUUCUUGCUGCUUAACCGCACUUGAGUUCCGAUCGCCCAGCAACGGACCGGGAGUGCUGGAGCGAUUGUCAUAUUUCCUGGUGUGAUCCUCUGCCUCUCCUUUGGGUAGAGAGUAUCGAGACUUUCAAAGGAAAGAUGAUCAAUCGUGGGGCGCCUCCCAGCAUGAUCAUUUAAAUUUAGGAGGCGACAAGCAUGUAGUCAUGAGUGGGAUGUUCGCUUAGGACGAGAGUUCGAAUCUCUCCACCUCCAUUC
rnacentral:tmRNA from 1 species